rnacentral:rRNA from 1 species
AACGAACGUUAGCGGCGCGCCUAACACAUGCAAGUCGAACGCGACAGGGGCAACUCUGUUGAGUGGCGCACGGGUGAGUAACACGUAGGUAAUCUCCCCCCGAGUGGUGGAUAACCUUCCGAAAGGAGGGCUAAUACAGCAUAAGACCACGGCUUCGAAAGGAGCUGAGGUCAAAGCGGAGGAUCGCAAGACUUCGCGCUUGGGGAUGAGCCUGCGGCCCAUCAGGUAGUUGGCGGGGUAACAGCCCACCAAGCCUAAGACGGGUAGCUGGUUUGCGAGGAUGAUCAGCCACGCUGGACCUGAGACACGGUCCAGACUCCUACGGGAGGCAGCAGUGGGGAAUCUUGCGCAAUGGACGAAAGUCUGACGCAGCGACGCCGCGUGGGUGAUGAAGGCCUUCGGGUUGUAAAGCCCUGUGGGGAGGGACGAAUAAGUUUCAGCUAAUACCUGAAGCGAUGACGGUACCUCCUUAGCAAGCACCGGCUAACUCUGUGCCAGCCGCCGCAGUAA